GACAGAGGUUCCAAGCGUUGUUCGGAUUCACUGGGCGUAAAGGGUGCGUAGGAGGUUGGGAAAGUCAGAUGUGAAAGCUCACUGCUUAACGGUGAAAUUGCAUUUGAAACUUCCUGACUUGAGGAUCGGAGAGGAAAGCGGAAUUCUUGGUGUAGCGGUGAAAUGCGUAGAUAUCAAGAGGAACGCCAAUGGCGAAAGCUGCUUUCUGGAAGAUUCCUGACUCUGAGGCACGAAGGCUAGGGUAG
rnacentral:rRNA from 1 species